rnacentral:rRNA from 1 species
UACGAAGGGGGCUAGCGCUGCUCGGAAUCACUGGGCGUAAAGGGUGCGUAGGCGGGUCUUUAAGUCAGGGGUGAAAUCCUGGAGCUCAACUCCAGAACUGCCUUUGAUACUGAGGAUCUUGAGUUCGGGAGAGGCGAGUGGAACUGCGAGUGUAGAGGUGAAAUUCGUAGAUAUUCGCAAGAACACCAGUGGCGAAGGCGGCUCACUGGCCCGAUACUGACGCUGAGGCACGAAAGCGUGGGGAGCAAACAGG